CGGGAAUAUUGCGCAAUGGAGGAAACUCUGACGCAGUGACGCCGCGUGCAGGAAGAAGGUUUUCGGAUUGUAAACUGCUUUAGACAGGGAAGAAAAAGACAGUACCUGUAGAAUAAGCUCCGGCUAACUACGUGCCAGCAGCCGCGGUAAUACGUAGGGAGCAAGCGUUAUCCGGAUUUAUUGGGUGUAAAGGGUGCGUAGACGGGAAAAUAAGUUAGUUGUGAAAUCCCCAUGCUUAACAUGGGAACUGCAACUAAAACUGUUUUUCUUGAGUGCUGGAGAGGAAAGUGGAAUUCCUAGUGUAGCGGUGAAAUGCGUAGAUAUUAGGAGGAACACCAGUGGCGAAGGCGACUUUCUGGACAGUAACUGACGUUGAGGCACGAAAGUGUGGGGAGCAAAC
rnacentral:rRNA from 1 species